UGUGGGUCUCAGGUGAUGCACCCUGGAAUUGGGCUCCCUCCUCUCUAGUUCCAUGUGGGUCACCUGAGAACCACA
rfam:Myotis davidii contig147333, whole genome shotgun sequence.